AAUUUUCCACAAUGGGCGCAAGCCUGAUGGAGCAACGCCGCGUGCAGGAUGAAGGAUUUCGGUCUGUAAACUGCUUUGGAGUGGGAAGAACGCCGUUUGGGUUAAUAAUCCAGACGGGUGACGGUACCGCUAGAACAAGACACGGCUAACUUCGUGCCAGCAGCCGCGGUAAUACGAAGGGUGCAAGCGUUACUCGGAAUUACUGGGCGUAAAGCGUGCGUAGGUGGUUCGUUAAGUCUGAUGUGAAAGCCCUGGGCUCAACCUGGGAAUGGCAUUGGAUACUGGCGACCUAGAGUGCGGUAGAGGGUAGCGGAAUUCCCGGUGUAGCAGUGAAAUGCGUAGAUAUCGGGAGGAACAUCCGUGGCGAAGGCGGCUACCUGGACCAGCACUGACACUGAGGCACGAAAGCGUGGGGAGCAAAC
rnacentral:rRNA from 1 species